GGGUGAGUAACACGUAUCCAACCUGCCGAUAACUCCGGGAUAGCCUUUCGAAAGAAAGAUUAAUACCGGAUGGCAUACGAAUAUCGCAUGAUAUUUUUAUUAAAGAAUUUCGGUUAUCGAUGGGGAUGCGUUCCAUUAGUUUGUUGGCGGGGUAACGGCCCACCAAGACUACGAUGGAUAGGGGUUCUGAGAGGAAGGUCCCCCACAUUGGAACUGAGACACGGUCCAAACUCCUACGGGAGGCAGCAGUGAGGAAUAUUGGUCAAUGGGCGCGAGCCUGAACCAGCCAAGUAGCGUGAAGGAUGAAGGCUCUAUGGGUCGUAAACUUCUUUUAUAUGGGAAUAAAGUAUUCCACGUGUGGGAUUUUGUAUGUACCAUAUGAAUAAGGAUCGGCUAACUCCGUGCCAGCAGCCGCGGUAAUACGGAGGAUCCGAGCGUUAUCCGGAUUUAUUGGGUUUAAAGGGAGCGUAGGUGGAUUGUUAAGUCAGUUGUGAAAGUUUGCGGCUCAACCGUAAAAUUGCAGUUGAAACUGGGAGUCUUGAGUACAGUAGAGGUGGGCGGAAUUCGUGGUGUAGCGGUGAAAUGCUUAGAUAUCACGAAGAACUCCGAUUGCGAAGGCAGCUCACUAGACUGUCACUGACACUGAUGCUCGAAAGUGUGGGUAUCAAACAGGAUUAGAUACCCUGGUAGUCCACACAGUAAACGAUGAAUACUCGCUGUUUGCGAUAUACAGUAAGCGGCCAAG
rnacentral:rRNA from 1 species